rnacentral:rRNA from 1 species
GACGAACGCUGGCGGCGUGCCUAAUACAUGCAAGUAGAACGCUGAAGAGAGGAGCUUGCUCUUCUUGGAUGAGUUGCGCACGGGUGAGUAACGCGUAGGUAACCUGCCUUGUAGCGGGGGAUAACUAUUGGAAACGAUAGCUAAUACCGCAUAACAAUGGAUGACACAUGUCAUUUAUUUGAAAGGGGCAAUUGCUCCACUACAAGAUGGACCUGCGUUGUAUUAGCUAGUAGGUGAGGUAAUGGCUCACCUAGGCGACGAUACAUAGCCGACCUGAGAGGGUGAUCGGCCACACUGGGACUGAGACACGGCCCAGACUCCUACGGGAGGCAGCAGUAGGGAAUCUUCGGCAAUGGGGGCAACCCUGACCGAGCAACGCCGCGUGAGUGAAGAAGGGUUUCGGAUCGUAAAGCUCUGUUGUAAGUCAAGAACGGGUGUGAGAGUGGAAAGUUCACACUGUGACGGUAGCUUACCAGAAAGGGACGGCUAACUACGUG